ACGAACGCUGGCGGCGUGCUUAACACAUGCAAGUCGAACGGAAAGGCCCUGCUUUUGUGGGGUGCUCGAGUGGCGAACGGGUGAGUAACACGUGAGUAACCUGCCCUUGACUUUGGGAUAACUUCAGGAAACUGGGGCUAAUACCGGAUAGGAGCUCCUGCUGCAUGGUGGGGGUUGGAAAGUUUCGGCGGUUGGGGAUGGACUCGCGGCUUAUCAGCUUGUUGGUGGGGUAGUGGCUUACCAAGGCUUUGACGGGUAGCCGGCCUGAGAGGGUGACCGGCCACAUUGGGACUGAGAUACGGCCCAGACUCCUACGGGAGGCAGCAGUGGGGAAUAUUGCACAAUGGGCGGAAGCCUGAUGCAGCAACGCCGCGUGCGGGAUGACGGCCUUCGGGUUGUAAACCGCUUUCGCCUGUGACGAAGCGUGAGUGACGGUAAUGGGUAAAGAAGCACCGGCUAACUACGCG
rnacentral:rRNA from 1 species